rnacentral:rRNA from 1 species
GAGGAGCCGGUUCUAUAAUCGAUAACCCCCGCUUAACCUCACCACUUCUUGCCAAUACCGCCUAUAUACCACCGUCGCCAGCCCACCCCGUGAGGGAAAUAGUAGGCACAAUGAUAAGUCACCAAAACGUCGGGUCAAGGUGUAGCGUAUGAAGUGGAAAGAAAUGGGCUACAUUCUCUAACCUAGAGCACACGAAAAAUCAUAUGAAAUUAGAUUAGAAGGAGGAUUUAGUAGUAAAAAGAAACAAUAGUGUUCUUUUUAAGUUGGCCCGGGGGCGCGCACACACCGCCCGUCACCCUCUUCAACUAAUAAAACACGAUUUAUAAAACACAAAACAAACACAAGAAGAGGUAAGUCGUAACAUGGUAAGUAUACCGGAAGGUGUGCUUGGAAUUA